AUUUAGGAGCGUUAGGGAUGGAAGCGGUAUCCUUUUUUGUGGUUUUCUCUUCCACAAAAAAGAUUUAGUGUACAGCCCGGCCCUUG
rnacentral:sRNA from 1 species